rnacentral:rRNA from 1 species
GAUGAACGCUAGCGAUAGGCUUAACACAUGCAAGUCGAGGGGCAGCACAAGGUAGCUUGCUAUCUGGGUGGCGACCGGCGCACGGGUGCGUAACGCGUAUGCAACUUUCCCUAUACAGGAGGAUAACCCGUCGAAAGACGGACUAAUACUGCGUAUGCUCACAACUUGGCAUCAAGUGGUGAGGAAAGAAAUUCGGUAUAGGAUAGGCAUGCGUCCCAUUAGCUUGUUGGUGAGGUAACGGCUCACCAAGUCAACGAUGGGUAGGGGAACUGAGAGGUUUCUCCCCCACACUGGUACUGAGACACGGACCAGAAUCCUACGGGAGGCAGCAGUGAGGAAUAUUGGUCAAUGGGCGCGAGCCUGAACCAGCCAAGUCGCGUGAAGGAUGACUGUGUUAGGGAUUGUAACCUUCUUUUAUAAGGGCAUAACAAGAGUCACGUGUGACUCCCUGAAUGUACCGUAUGAAUAAGCAUCGGCUAACUCCGUG